UGGAACGGAAAGUUUGACGGAUAGGGGGUUGUGAGUAACCGGGUUGAGAAUGUUGUUGGGGGUUAGAUGUUGAUCCUUCUUGUGUGUAACUUGUCUGGCGUGGGUCAUAGAGGUACAUAUCAUCGGCGAUGAAUUGAAAACCAAUCGAUCUGUACCAAGCCAUAUAAGUACGACUUGGUUUUACCUCGUUUGGCAUGACUGCGUCAAUUAAGACAUGGUCAUGACGGUGCUUCCACUUGCGACACUCCGAUCUUGCGAAGGUUUGGCAAGGGUUGAAGUUCC
rnacentral:lncRNA from 1 species